rnacentral:rRNA from 1 species
UACACAUGCAGUCGAGCGGGGGAGAUUGCUUCGGUAAUUGACCUAGCGGCGGACGGGUGAGUAAUACUUAGGAAUCUGCCUAUUAAUGGGGGACAACAUCUCGAAAGGGAUGCUAAUACCGCAUACGCCCUACGGGGGAAAGCAGGGGAUCACUUGUGACCUUGCGUUAAUAGAUGAGCCUAAGUCGGAUUAGCUAGUUGGUGGGGUAAAGGCCUACCAAGGCGACGAUCUGUAGCGGGUCUGAGAGGAUGAUCCGCCACACUGGGACUGAGACACGGCCCAGACUCCUACGGGAGGCAGCAGUGGGGAAUAUUGGACAAUGGGGGGAACCCUGAUCCAGCCAUGCCGCGUGUGUGAAGAAGGCCUUAUGGUUGUAAAGCACUUUAAGCGAGGAGGAGGCUCCUGUAGUUAAUACCUACAGUGAGUGGACGUUACUCGCAGAAUAAGCACCGGCUAACUCUGUGCCAGCAGCCGCGGUAAUACAGAGGGUGCGAGCGUUAAUCGGAUUUACUGGGCGUAAAGCGUGCGUAGGCGGCUUUUUAAGUCGGAUGUGAAAUCCCCGAGCUUAACUUGGGAAUUGCAUUCGAUACUGGGAAGCUAGAGUAUGGGAGAGGAUGGUAGAAUUCCAGGUGUAGCGGUGAAAUGCGUAGAGAUCUGGAGGAAUACCGAUGGCGAAGCAGCCAUCUGGGCCUAAUACUGACGCUGAGUACGAAAGCAUGGGGAGCAAACAGGAUUAGAUACCCUGGUAGUCCAUGCCGUAAACGAUGUCUACUAGCCGUU